GGGGUGUGCUCAGAGCAGGGGGCCUGAAGAAUGGCGCCUCUGUUUACAACACACCCAACAGAAAUCUGGGCUUACUCCUACAGGUGGCAGGAUACUGUGGCCUUCCUGUGACAUAGUGCCCUACACAU
ensembl:snoRNA SNORA11G small nucleolar RNA, H/ACA box 11G